rnacentral:rRNA from 1 species
GAUGAACGCUGGCGGCGUGCCUAAUACAUGCAAGUCGAGCGAAUGGAUUAAGAGCUUGCUCUUAUGAAGUUAGCGGCGGACGGGUGAGUAACACGUGGGUAACCUGCCCAUAAGACUGGGAUAACUCCGGGAAACCGGGGCUAAUACCGGAUAACAUUUUGAACCGCAUGGUUCGAAAUUGAAAGGCGGCUUCGGCUGUCACUUAUGGAUGGACCCGCGUCGCAUUAGCUAGUUGGUGAGGUAACGGCUCACCAAGGCAACGAUGCGUAGCCGACCUGAGGGGGUGAUCGGCCACACGGGGACUGAGACACGGCCCAGACUCCUACGGGAGGUAGCAGUAGGGAAUCUUCCGCAAUGGACGAAAGUCUGACGGAGCAACGCCGCGUGAGUGAUGAAGGCUUUCGGGUCGUAAAACUCUGUUGUUAGGGAAGAACAAGUGCUAGUUGAAUAAGCUGACACCUUGACGGUACCUAACCAGAAAGCCACGGCUAACUACGUGCCAGCCACCGCCGUAA